AUUGAACGCUGGCGGCAUGCCUUACACAUGCAAGUCGAACGGCAGCAUGAUCUAGCUUGCUAGAUUGAUGGCGAGUGGCGAACGGGUGAGUAAUACAUCGGAACGUGCCCUGUAGUGGGGGAUAACUAGUCGAAAGAUUAGCUAAUACCGCAUACGACCUGAGGGUGAAAGCGGGGGACCUUCGGGCCUCGCGCGAUUGGAGCGGCCGAUGGCAGAUUAGGUAGUUGGUGGGAUAAAAGCUUACCAAGCCGACGAUCUGUAGCUGGUCUGAGAGGACGACCAGCCACACUGGGACUGAGACACGGCCCAG
rnacentral:rRNA from 1 species